GAGAAACAAGUCCCAGCAAAGGUCACAAUCAACAUUCAUUGCUGUCGGUGGGUUUAACUAUAUGGUAAAGCUCGCUGAUCAAUGAAUGCAACUGUGGCCCAGAUUUUAGCAAUGGCGCCAA
rnacentral:precursor_RNA from 17 species